GGGAGACACUGCAGUUAAAAACAUUUUUAGAAUUUAUUUUUUUUUUAAUGAGAGCUUUUAAAAUGUUACAAGUGAGACUCAUCCCAUGGGGGAAAAAUUUAAAUGAAAAAAUAUCUACAGUAAGGAGAUAAAAGAUGCCCCAACCCUGCUUCCACUCCUGAUUCUGGACCCUCAAGUCUAACCAGGGAGAUGACACACACUUCAUAAAACCUGGGGAUAUUGUGCAAUCAAAUUUCAGAAGUGGCAGCAGUUCACAGUGGACGGAUCGACAACUACUGAGCCCUAGCGCUGCAACUACUGAAGC